CGCAUUGUUCACAACGACGAAGAAUCUUUCUCUCUACGCUCAGAUUCGAAGCUGCAUCGUCUUUGUCAGCUUCUACUCCUAAUUCGAAGGCGAAGGUCGUGGUGACCAGAGAGCGUGGCAAGAAUGGCAAGCUCAUCAAAGCUCUGCUGUCUCAAAACGGAUCUUCUCUGCGCAACACGUUUCCAAAUGGCUCAUCAAGUUUCUCUCUCCUCGCUCUCUCUCUCUCCUCCUCCUUCAACUUCUGCUGCUGCUGCUGCUGCUUCUUCUUCUUCUUCUUCGCAUUGUUCACAACGACGAAGAAUCUUUCUCUCUACGCUCAGAUUCGAAGCUGCUUCGUCUUUGUCAGCUUCUACUCCGAAUUCGAAGGCGAAGGUCGUGGUGACCAGAGAGCGUGGCAAGAAUGGCAAGCUCAUCAAAGCUCUGGCCAAACAUGGGAUCAACUGUCUGGAGCUUCCCCUCAUUCAGCAUACACAGGGACCUGAUCUAGAUAGGCUUUCUUCUGUAUUAAAUGCAGACGCUACAUUUGACUGGAUAGUCAUAACUUCCCCUGAGGCGGGUUCAGUCUUUUUGGAGGCAUGGAAGGCUGCUGGGACCCCAAAUGUUAAGGUAGGUGUUGUGGGAGCUGGUACAGCGAGCGUUUUUGAGGAAGUAAUGCAGUCCUCAAAGCAAUCACUCAGCGUUGCCUUUGCUCCCUCUAAAGCGACAGGUAAGGUUCUAGCUUCUGAGCUUCCAAAGAAUGGACAAAAAUGCAGAGUCCUAUAUCCUGCUUCUGCAAAAGCUAGCAGUGAGAUUGAGGAAGGAUUGUCUAAUCGUGGAUUCGAGGUCACAAGGCUAAAUACAUAUACGACGGUACCAGUCCAUGAUGUUGACCAAAUGCUUUUACAGCAGGCACUUUCUACUCCUGUUGUUGCAGCUGCCUCGCCUUCUGCAGUUCGUGCCUGGAUCAAACUUAUUUCAAAUGCAAAGGGGUGGAACAAUUCAGUUGCCUGUAUUGGUGAGACAACUGCUUUGGCUGCGAAAAGAUUAGGCCUGCAAAAUGUGUACUACCCAGCUCAACCUGGUGUUGAAGGGUGGGUUGGUAGCAUCCUUGAAGCCUUGGAAGCACAUGAUCAUUUCUAGGUCAUUUUAUCUAGCUUUUCCCCAGGAUGCAAGCAGACAAAGAGGCAACAUGUUCAGGAUUAUGUCAGCGCCUCAUAGACACAAAUAUUGCAGCUUCUGUGCAAACUAGCUGCAAAACAGAGAUUAAUCUUUCGCAAGCAGUUUAAGGGAAUGGUAUAAGACUCUUGGACACCCUGACGAGACCAUAUUAAAUAGGCAAACAUUUCUUCUGAGGUUAGUCAAGAGAAUAUCCGGAUAUUCUGACAAGGAAAGCCGUCCAUUUUCACAUCAAACCUGACAUCAGCUAUGUUGACAAUGAAUUUGUCUUGCUGCUACUUCAUGAACACUGAUUACUCAUAUAAAUUUUUAUUAGGAUUAUCUCUACCAAUGUUGUCUAGUCCUCGGGUACCACAGGUUAGUCACUCAUACCUGCAAGCUUCCCAUUUUGUGGCUUUUGUAUGAAGAGCUGUUUGCACCUCAACAAGAUUUAGAUAUGUAUCAACAUAAUGGUUGGAGCAGGGAUCA